UACGUAGGUGGCAAGCGUUGUCCGGAUUUACUGGGCGUAAAGAGCGCGCAGGCGGUCGUUCAACUCGCGUGUGAAAGCCCCCGGCUCAACUGGGGAGGGUCACGCGAUACUUAUCGACUCGAAGGCAGGAGAGGGUAGUGGAAUUCCCGGUGUAGUGGUGAAAUGCGUAGAUAUCGGGAGGAACACCAGUGGCGAAGGCGACUACCUGGCCUGUUUCUUGACGCUGAGGCGCGAAAGCUAGGGGAGCAAACGGG
rnacentral:rRNA from 1 species